AUUGAACGCUGGCGGCAGGCUUAACACAUGCAAGUCGAGCGAGCGGCGGACGGGUGAGUAAUGUCUGGGAAACUGCCUGAUGGCGGGGGAUAACUACUGGAAACGGUCGCUAAUACCGCAUACCAUCAGAGGUGACCAGAUGGGAUUAGCUAGUAGGGGGGGUAACGUCUCACCUAGGCGACGAUCCCUAGCUGGUAUGAGAGGAUGACCAGCCACACUGUAACUGAGACACGGUCCAGACUCCUAGGGGAGGCAGCAGUGGGGAAUAUUGCACAAUGGGCGCAAGCCUGAUGCAGCCAGGCCGCGUGUGUGAAGAAGGCCGUCUGGUUGUAAAGCACUUUCAGCGAGGAGGCGUUACUCGCAGAGGAAGCACCGGCUAACUCCGUGCCAGCAGCCGCGGUAAUAC
rnacentral:rRNA from 1 species